rnacentral:rRNA from 1 species
UACGGAGGGUGCGAGCGUUGCUCGGAAUCACUGGGCGUAAAGCGUACGCAGGCUGUCUCGUAAGUCGGGUGUGAAAGCCCGGGGCUCAACCCCGGAAUUGCGCCCGAGACUGCGGGGCUUGAAUGCGGGAGAGGGAAGCGGAAUUCCGUGGCGUAGAGGUGAAAUUCGUAGAUAUACAGGAGGAACACCGGUGGCGAAGGCGGGUCUCUGGGCAGUAACUGACGCUGAGGAGCGAAAGCGUGGGGAGCGAACAGG